AUAGAAAGAAAGAGCACGUUAUCUGCAGACACAAAACCGCAUGCUGGUACAGCAGCUCACGCAAGUCCAGCAUUGCCUCGAGGCAAAGAUAUUCAACUGUAAGUGUUUCUCUGGUGAUGCUCAGUUUUGUUUCACAAGGAAAGCACACUUGACAAAAAAUGACAGCUGUGCAUAAAAAUGAGCCCCUGUUUUAAUUAAUUCCAGUGGAAGAAAGACCUACAUGCAUGUGCUCCAAAAAAUGCUUGGUGGACUGCGAAAGGGACCGCUACACCACUGCAAAAGCAUUUGAAAGAUAUGAUCCACCACCAACCCCCGUGCUUUCUCAGAGGAAGCCAUGGUAGAGGUAGAUGAUGGUCAGCAUGAUUUGCAACUGCUUCAGCCGACUGAAGCAGACAAGCCAGAGUUUACCUAUACAGAAGACGGGUUUUUUCACUCGCAAAAGGGCUACCUGAUAUCGGGCACACAGGCAGCAAAAAGCCUGAACAAUAAGAAGGCCACACUUGUGUGCAAAGAUACUGCACAGGCUUUGUGGACA
rnacentral:lncRNA from 1 species